UACGGAGGGUGCAAGCGUUAUCCGGAUUCACUGGGUUUAAAGGGUGCGUAGGUGGGUUGAUAAGUCAGUGGUGAAAUCCCCGAGCUUAAUUUGGGAACUGCCAUUGAUACUAUUGAUCUUGAAUACCGUGGAGGUCAGCGGAAUAUGUCAUGUAGCGGUGAAAUGCUUAGAUAUGACAUAGAACACCAAUUGCGAAGGCAGCUGGCUACGCGAAUAUUGACACUGAUGCACGAAAGCGUGGGGAUCAAACAGG
rnacentral:rRNA from 1 species